UAAAAGUCAGGUCGGAUUAAGCCAUAGUACGGAAAAAACUAUGCUACCUGUGAGCCCCGUCCAAGGACGUUAAAAGAAGUCAGGCCAUUACAAAAAUGCCACAGCUUGAGCAAACUGUGCAGCCUGUAGCUCCACCUGAGGAGGUGCAAAAA
rnacentral:lncRNA from 1 species